UACGGGGGGGGCAAGCGUUGUUCGGAAUUACUGGGCGUAAAGGGCUCGUAGGCGGCCAACUAAGUCAUACGUGAAAUCCCUCGGCUUAACCGAGGAACUGCGUCCGAUACUGGUGGGCUUGAAUCCGGGAGAGGGAUGUGGAAUUCCAGGUGUAGCGGUGAAAUGCGUAGAUAUCUGGAGGAACACCGGUGGCGAAGGCGGCAUCCUGGACCGGUAUUGACGCUGAGGCGCGAAAGCUAGGGGAGCAAACGGG
rnacentral:rRNA from 1 species